UGAGAAAACAUGCUACAGCACAUUUACCGAAAUGCCAUCAUAAGUAAUUAAACCAAAAUUGCUCUUGUCAAAAUAAAUGAAUAAAUUUGAUGAGGCAUUUUCCUUUACUUUGCAGAUUUGUUCCACUUUAUCACUAAUUCAUAAAAUCCACAAAGGGUCUCUAGUCAUUAGCGUGAUUAGUUAAAAUCUGCUGUUGUUACAUUGUUGUGAAAGAGAAAGAAAAGCCAGGAGGGUUAUUGGGCCACAUGAAUAGGGUGAGAACAUAUUUCUAUAAGUACUUUAAAAGAGAACAUGUCAGCCCAUGAUUCAUCUGAUGCCAAGGCAGGAGUCAGUAAUGCUCAAUAUUUGUAUGUAAAUACUGAUUAUAGGAGUAUUUUUUUUUGACAAAAGGAACAUUUAGAAAGGAUUCAGAGCAAUAGUUUCAUAAUUAGAAAACAAAACUAGCCUGUUGUUUCGUAGUAUAAGCUACAGAAAAUAAAGCUUAACUGUACGUUGUGUUUUUUGGCAGGGUAUGUGUUACGGUGGUAGGGUGGGCACUGAUGAAGGCAGAUCUGUGUGGAUAUAUCACAUUGCGUAUCAGAUUUGCUAUAUCAAAAGAUGACUUCAGUUAAAAAUGAUGUUGACAAGAAGGAGCCUGGUAGAGGGAACAUAUGCUGGUGCUUUUCUAUAUUUGAUACUGUUUUCAUGUUUAGAAGACAAAUCAGUUUUAUAUUCCAGACAAGAGAUGGAAAAUGCAUUUAAUUUUCAGUGACCUUUCUCUAGUUCUCAUUCUCUUUUCUCUUCUCUGAAGCCUUUUAUAAUGAUGAAUACAUUAUUUUUCUUAAAUUUCUUUCUUUGGCUCCCACAAAGCUCUCCCAUCUUAGUUCUGCCUCAUUAUGUGACUGCACCACGUCCUCCAGUGUUUGAAAAAUUUGCGUUCUGGUUAUCCAUCACUGCAUAACAAACCACCUCCAAACUUCUUGGCUUAAAACAAUGACAAUCAUUUUGUUUUUAUUCCUCAUGGUUCUGGAGGUUGAUUGGCUCAGCCUGGUGGUUCUUACUUAGGUUCUCUCAAGCAGCAAUCAGGAAUGCUGGGCUAGAAUCAUCUGAAGGCUUAUUCACUCAUGUGUGGCUCCUGGGAAGAGGGAGGAGAUGUGAAUAGAUAGGAACUGCAGAAACUGAAGCAUCUUCCUCUGACUGUAUGUUGUCCCUUUUCACAGUUUUUUAAU
rnacentral:lncRNA from 1 species